rnacentral:lncRNA from 1 species
GCAGUGCUCUGUCUUGUUCCCUUCCGGCCACCCCGCCCGGUUCUCCCUGUGAGGAGUCAACAGCUCCUGGGUGGUUCCCAGUGGGGGAAAAAAACUGGGUCGGUCCAAACCAAACCUCCGCUGAGCUUCCCGGACUGGGACUUCGAGAAUAAGGGAAGAAGACUGACGUGGUAAACCUUCUGCCACUUGCGUUCUACUGCCAGAGAAGGGAUUACAAACUCAAGGGCCUCCAG